GCAAACAGGAUUAGAUACCCUGGUAGUCCACGCCCUAAACGAUGAGUACUAAACGUUGGAUAAAACCAGUGUUGAAGUUAACACAUUAAGUACUCCGCCUGAGUAGUACGUACGCAAGUAUGAAACUUAAAGGAAUUGACGGGACUCCGCACAAGCGGUGGAUCAUGUUGUUUAAUUCGAAGGUACCCGAAAAACCUCACCAGGUCUUGACAUGCUUUUGCAAAGCUGUAGAAAUACAGUGGAGGUUAUCAAAAGCACAGGUGGUGCAUGGUUGUCGUCAGCUCGUGUCGUGAGAUGUUGGGUUAAGUCCCGCAACGAGCGCAACCCUUGUUGUUAAUUGCCAUCAUUAAGUUGGGGACUUUAGCAAGACUGCCAAUGAUAAAUUGGAGGAAGGUGGGGACGACGUCAAAUCAUCAUGCCCCUUAUGACCUGGGCUACAAACGUGAUACAAUGGCUGUUACAAAGGGUAGCUAAAGCGUAAGCUUCUGGCGAAUCUCAAAAAAGCAGUCUCAGUUCGGAUUGAAGUCUGCAACUCGACUUCAUGAAGUUGGAAUCGCUAGUAAUCGCGAAUCAGCAUGUCGCGGUGAAUACGUUCUCGGGGUUUGUACACACCGCCCGUCAAACCACGAAAGUUGGCAAUACCCAAAGCCGGUGGCCUAACUUGAGCAAUCAAGAAGGAGCCGUCUAAGGUAGGGUUGAUGAUUGGGGUUAAGUCGUAACAAGGUAUCCCUACCGGAAGGUGGGGAUGGAUCACCUCCUU
rnacentral:rRNA from 1 species